GGGCAGUCAUCGCCGAGUCCCCGUCAGGCGCGAGCCUGGGGAGCCGGGGACCCAAUGCAGUCCCUGGGGUGAAUCGGACACCUGCGCCCGCGCGUGCCAGGUGCCCGUAGGAGACCUUCCUGCUCCGAACCCGUCAGCUAACCCGGUAGGCGAGAAGGAAGGAAAGG
rnacentral:sRNA from 2 species